UCUAAUCGUAAUAUCCCAGUAACAGUGAGACUCUGGCUAUACCUGACAAUGAUGGGCUUGGUCAUUGACUGUGAGAAUGAUCUCCCAUGAUUGAAUAGUGUGAGACAUGGAGUCUCAAAGUGAUAGGAUCUGACACAAAGCUCAGGUUCUAGUCUCCAUUUACAAAAGUGCUGGAUCAAUGAUGAGUUUUUAAAACUGAAUCAUUUUUGAAUAUGAACAAAAUGAGUGACCAAACCACUUCUGUGAUCUGAGGUCCAGCAUAGUAGCCAUGGCUGGGUAGAAAUGUGAAACAAGUUCAGUUUUACCAGCAACUAGUUCCUAACAGGCAUGAGCUUUUGUAAAACUACUUGCAUAUGUUAGAGCAAAGUAAUUGUGCAGAAGCCUAUAUACUCAGUUUUGAGAUGACAUAGAAAUUUUUGAACACUUGGUCAACCUGGACUCAAAACUGGAAUUUCAUUUGGAUGAAUGUAUUACUUCUUUUGUGUCAUGAUCUGAAGGGAAGUUUUGAAAAUUAUUCUGCCUCCCAUCCAUGAUGGACAGUGGGAUUAGUCAAAAUAAGAAGAUGACUUCCUGGGAACUCUUCUAGGAAUGUAUGAUUUUCAGGAAAUUCCUGAAACAAGAGCAAUUGAAGAGUCUCUUUGACUACCGUCUGCCCAACUACCAUCAUCUGAAGGUAA